AUACCUUUCUCGGCCUUUUGGCUAAGAUCAAGUGUAGUAUCUGUUCUUAUCAGUUUAAUAUCUGAUAUGUGGGCCAUGUGCUCACUAUGAUAUUAAAUUUAUUUUUUGUGGGGAGGGUCCAUCACAGUGGCUUGCCACUGGGGCCCUCACGCGUCGCCCAGGCGUUGCACUGCUGCCCGGGCCUGGCGCACCCCAA
rfam:Oryza glaberrima chromosome 2 Oglab02_0439_8, whole genome shotgun sequence.